GACGAACGCUGGCGGCGUGGAUUAGGCAUGCAAGUCGGACGGUAGGGCUUUAUCGUAAGAUAGAGUUUGAGAGUGGCGAAUGGGUGAGUAACACGUAGGAAUCUACCCUUAAGACGGGGACAACCCAGGGAAACUUGGGCUAAUACCGGAUGAGAGUGCGAGAGAUUGCAUUUAAAAGGAUGGCGAAAGUUAUCGCUUAGGGAUGAGCCUGCGGUCUAUUAGUUAGUUGGUGGGGUAAGAGCUCACCAAGGCGAUGAUAGAUAGGCGGCCUUAACGGGUGGUCGCCCACACUGGGAUUGAGAUACGGCCCAGACUCCUACGGGAGGCAGCAGUCGAGAAUAGUCUACAAUGGCCGGAAGGCUGAUAGUGCGACGCCGCGUGAACGAGGGAGCCCUUCGGGGUGUAAAGUUACUUUUCUAUACGAGCAGUGCUAUAUAUAAUGGAUAGUAUAUAUAGAGGGAUAGUAGUAUAGGAAUAAGCAACGGCUAACUCCGUGCCAGCAGCCG
rnacentral:rRNA from 1 species